rnacentral:lncRNA from 1 species
CUCUUUACACUGUGCCGCAGGAAGUUUAAUAUUUACCUGUUUGGUAAAGGGUAAAUAACAUUUAAGAAGUGAAGAACCAAAGUUUCUUUACUGCAGAAAAUAUAUCCAUCAACUGUUGACACGGGAAGAGCUGUUGCUCUCGAAUGUCCGUCAGUGUAAUCACGCAACUGGUAGAGUUGAAACUUUCAAUUAACAAACUACACGCCCUUUCAAGUGCAGGCUGGGCGCAGGGACAAGCACUGCGCCGGAAUCAAUACUCCACGCCACUCGGCUGCAUGUAAUGAGUUACAUCAAGCAGGGUUCCACCACCGGGCAUUGUUUGCCGGAGAUGCAAGCAGUAAGUCUUAAACCAGGGAAAACCAAACGAAGCCACGACACUGUCGUGGCUUGGAACUGUUGUUGCCGUGUGCUCACCUCACCGGCAACUCGACGUGUCCUUGGCAGGCUGCGGCUGCCCGACCUCUGAGGGACCCACAAGCCGCCCCCCAUCUGAGCUCUGACUGCUUUCCUAGAGCCAAAAGGGCGAGGGGGAGGCGAUGGAAAGCAAACACACGACUGCUCCGCAAAACAACAGCGUGAGUUUAUUUCCAGGAAAUCGGGCAGUCUCAACAAGAGACGAACUGUCAAGUACAAAAAAAUUGGAGAAGGAAGAUCAUUUAAAACUGAUUGAAUACAUCAGGCAUUCAAGAAUACAUUUUGUGGGGUUAAGAGCUCGUUCACAAAGUCCAAGCCUGAUGGAGAUUAACAUGGCUGACUCAUCCAAUAUGGGCCUCCCCUCCCACUCUUCCUGCGAACAGAUCUCCUCCUCCUGUAGCCUAACAGCUCCUCUCCACAUCUUUGCUCCUCCCUUCCUCAGUGGAAUGUUCACGGGAGGUGCAGCGACACAGCAGAAAAUCCCACUCUUCCUGGAGCCUAAAGGUACCUUGGAACGACCCUCCUUGGUGCCUGUGCUGUGCAAGUAUUCAUGGAAUUCCACGACUGCCUUCUGAGAAUGCACGCUCUUUGCAUACACAGCAUCUGCAUUUUCAAUCAGUGCCUUGAGGGACUGAAUCAUCAUGUCAUAAGCUGUCACGAUUUUCUCCAGGACCUCUGGCACAGUUCCCUGCAGCUCCACUGUGGGACAUGGCUCGCUGAGAUUUAGGACCACCAGGGGUGUGUUAUUGGGCCCCAGGAAGUGGGGAGACACUACCACUAUGCACCGCAUGAGAUUGGCCACUGAGGAGAGGCCACACCGCUCCUUGAAUCUCUAUUUUUCUUUUAUUUAAAGUACCCAAGCACUUCCUAUCGCUUCUCCUUUUUCCACAUUAUUUAUCUUCCAAAGAACUUGCUGUUUGUAUAAAGGUGCUGGUUUGGACCAGCAGUCAUCUUUGUGAGUGUAUUAUUGGCAUUAAUAUUUUUUAAAUGAGGGCUCAGCACAUUAUUAGAGAAUUUCGGCUCCAAACUUUGCUGAUGUCUGACGGUGUAUUGAAAUGAACAGUUAAUGCUUACAAUUUUUUAUGUUCUGAUCGAUUGUGCAUGCUUGUGUCUGGUGGUCUGAGCAACAGAUUUGAAGGUAAUAAUAUGCAAUGGAAUUGCAAUGGUGAACUCCUACCAUCUUGUCUACUGAAACUCUAUAUUAUCUCUACUGCUUUAUCGAAGAAUUAUUUUCUUAUUCCCUGUAAUGGUUUGAGCAAUCUUUCAUUCUUACAUCUGGUAAUCUGAGCAAUGUGGUUAAUGAUAGCAAUAUGCAAUGUAACAACCACUGUUGAUUCGUAUUAUUUUGUCUUGAGACUCUGUAUCAUUUUGAAUGUUCUUGCUUUGAUUUGUUUAUACUUGUGAUACUGGUAUGCUGCUACUGUUCUAUUUGUUUAUUUGUUUCUCAUUUACUACUCUCUUUAAAACAAAAAAAAAUAAAAAAACAAACUUUGGACUUUAAAAAUAUUUAUUGUUUGCUUAUUGCCAUAUUCUGUAGGUCAGAAUUAAAAAUUGCCAUAGUUAUAACAGAAAUAGAAAUCUUCCAAGUUAACAGCAUACAAGUAAAU